CCUACGGGAGGCAGCAGUAGGGAAUAUUGCUCAAUGGGGGAAACCCUGAAGCAGCAACGCCGCGUGGAGGAUGAAGGUUUUCGGAUUGUAAACUCCUUUUGUUAGAGAAGAUAAUGACGGUAUCUAACGAAUAAGCACCGGCUAACUCCGUGCCAGCAGCCGCGGUAAUACGGAGGGUGCAAGCGUUACUCGGAAUCACUGGGCGGAAAGAGCGCGUAGGCGGGAUAGCAAGUCAGAUGUGAAAUCCUAUGGCUUAACCAUAGAACUGCAUUUGAAACUGGUAUUCUAGAGUAUGGGAGAGGUAGGUGGAAUGCGUGGUGUAGGGGUAAAAUCCGUAGAGAUCAAGAGGAAUACUCAUUGCGAAGGCGACCUGCUAGAACAUAACUGACGCUGAUGCGCGAAAGCGUGGGGAGCAAACAGGAUUAGAUACCCCUGUAGUC
rnacentral:rRNA from 1 species